AUUUCCAAGGCUGACCGAGGCAAAAUACAUCUUAAAAACAAAAUGGAGCAGUCAAAAAUACACAGUGUCAGGGAGAGGUGUCAAAUAUGCAUCUGUGAACAUUUCAGCCUGCAGAAAAGACUUUUAGAAAGCAUUUUCUUUACAUUAAGUAGAUUUUUUUUUUUUUAAAACAGCACAUCUUUUUACAUAUAUAUGAAACAUGUUAUGGAAUAAUUCGGCACCACAAGAAGUAGAGCUGGGCAGAUUGAUCUAAAUAUCAAUAGUGUCCAUACCAGUGCAGGCAUUGGUAUCGGAUCGAUACAAGAGCAAUAGGCUUGAUAAUUUGUUUAUUAUGUAAUCCACUGAAUUGUGUUGAAUUUUGGGGGGGAAAUGAAAAAAUAUACGUUGACUGUCACAUCUGUUUCAUGUGCUAAAUUCUGUAGCACAUUUAAACAACAGAAGUUGACCCAGAGUGCUUUAGAGACAUUCACAUUCUAGCUCUCAAAAAAGAAUUAUUGGUGCAUAUUAUUUGUGAACAAUUGGCCCGAUGGGCGAUGCAAGGUAUUUUAUUUUUUAAAUUUCCAAUUAACAGUUGUAUUUUUUACAGCCUUUUAUGCAUGUUUGUUAAUAAAAUGAACUGCUUGUAAUAAUAGCAAAUAACAAUUGCAGAAAGGAAUUUGAGGAGGUGAAAGACUAAACUGAAAGAUAUGUGUGCGUGUAUGUGUGGUGUUUAUACCACUGCUGUUGAGACUUAGUUUUCUUUUCACUGUAAUUAGUUCGAUAAUAGUUCAUGUGGAAGAUUUGCCUUGUCUGAUUUAUUUUUCACUUUAACACCUGAGCACUUUAAACCAAGCAAUCGAUGUUUUGAUGUUGUAAUUAUCUCUUUAUUCUUUUUUUUUUUUUUUACAUCUUUGUACUUUUUCUGAAUUGGGUGUUGCUGGUUUUCUCACAGAGUAUCUCUUGACUGAAUGUGGCUUUUCUAAACUUCAAGGCUGUAGUAACUCCACAGUCACCUUCUUUUGGUUUGUGAGUUUGCGUGGGUGUACAGUUGUAAGUUUAUGGUCACAAUGCCAGUGCGGUCAUCAGGUUUUUCAUUUGUUCAAUAGAAAGGUUUUAUUUAACCCAAUAUUAUUUAACAAUAUUGCUAUUUUUAACUAUUGCCAAAAAAUAUUUCACAUGUUAGCCUGACAGUCACCCUGGACUUUCAAAUUAGAGUUAUGGUGGUUACAAUUUUUACCACUAGCUGUCAGUAGCUUCAGACUGUAGUCAUCUGAGGUCUGUUUUCUUACCCAUCACAGUUAGGUGCAUAAUCCUAGCUACAGGACAAACAGGUUUUAGUCAAGAGAGAUCAAAAACAUUAUAUCAAAAUACAGCCUAUAACAGCCAGUUCCAAUCAGCAUGUUUAUACUGCUACCAGUAUAAACUGGUCAGAUCCAUUUUUUGUUGAAGGCUGUGAGUCCACUUUUACCUCAGCCGUCAAUGCCAGGUGAGCAGCGUCCACCUUUAUUUACUCUGAAAGAGGCUGUGAAACUUUGGGAAAGGAGUCUGAUACACGUCAGUUAGUCAGAGAAGCUCAGUUCUGAUCAGUGAUAAAGAUACUGUGGUGAGUUGUUGAGGAUAUGCUGAACUGUUAGUGAGCACUGCUGUUUUUGCCACUCUUAGCUACUGUUAGCCUCUGUUAGCUGCUGUUAGCCGCUGUUAGCUGCUGUUAGCCUGUGUUAGCUGCUGUUAGCCUCUGUUAGCUGCUGUUUGCUGUGAAGCUUUUUUGAAGUGGA
ensembl:lncRNA